UGAGAAAGCGGUUUUAGAAGCAUCUUGA
rnacentral:sRNA from 1 species